GCCGGAAUAACUCAGUUGGUAGAGUAACUGAUUCGUAAUCAGUAAGUCGCGCGUUCGAGUCGCGUUUCCGGCU
rnacentral:tRNA from 1 species